CUAUAUAAAGAUCACUUGGGUCUUUCAAAUGAUUUUUGCUCCUGCUUACAACUGAGAAUUACUUUCUCUUCACUGACCUUUUCUUCAUUCUCUGAGUUCAGGUGACCUCUAAUUUCACCACCUUCUCUUUUUAUCCGGGUUCGAUGUUUCCUGAUUCAUCAUCAUUUUCGAGUUUCACUUGCCUUUAACAGUUUCUUCGCUUUACCUUUUAUUUAGGUACCAUUUAUAAUCCUUUUUUCUUGAAUUUUACUAAUUUGUUUUCUUGUCUUUUUCAUGACCAAUAUUGAAAAUAUGCCAGCCAACAUGAUAAAUGACCCUGAUGAUGGGGAUUCUUCGUCAUCUACACUAUUUGAAAACUUAAAAAUUCUAAAUGAUGAUCUUUUAGAGGUUAAUCGACUUAACCCCAAUCUUGUCAUGUUUAGCGACAAUUUUGAGUCUGACGAGGGUUCUGUAGAAAGGGGCGAUGAACCCUUUAACACCUUUACUGAGAAGAGUACCGAAUAAUAUUCUAAAGAAGAUGAAGAGAUGAACUUCGGUAACCUUGAUACAAGGGAUGCAGAUGCCAAUCUUUCCUAUUCUAUCAGAGCUCAUAUAGAUUUAGAUGUUGAUAUAACAACUCAGAAUGAACGUCAAACUCACUAUUUUACUAUAACUUUUAGGGAUGAACAUGGUCGAGAUCAUAGAUUAGAGAUCACAUUAAUUUUUAUAGCCAAUUAACAGUUUUGACCGACAUUAUCUUUUUCAUGACCAUCAAGUGGACAUGGUUUGACAUGAGAGUGAUGGUUUGGUGGAGCCGAUUGAUGUUGGUUUAUCCUGCUGGGUGGAUACCUAACUAAUGAUGAUGAUUUCCUUCUACAAAAGUGAAGCUAGAGUGGGUGAUGCUCACGUAGAAGUAUGUCCACCCUCUGACUGACUGAUUUCCCAUGUCGACUCCAACAAGAGGAUUUGUAGUUACUUUGAUAGGUGUUCCAUCCGCUUUUAUGAAUGCAUAUUUCACCAGUUGAAAUUCAAGCUGCCCUUCAAUAGGUUUGAGGAAAGAGUGUUAAAACACUUAAAGCUUGCCCAUUAUCAGCUACACCUGGUAGCUUGGGCAUUUGUUAAAAUGUUUUAGUACUCGUAUGAAUACUAGGAUAAAGAAAUACAUGUGAUCCUCUUAUUUAAUCUUUUCACCGUGACACGACCUCAAAAGAUCCUUUCCAGAGACAAGGAUUGAUCUCGCCACAUUAGACAUCUAAAAUAUUUGUUGUAUAUAUUGAAAGUUGGAAGAAUUUAAAGGAUCACUUCUUUUUGGUGAUUCCGUAAGCUCUAGAGUCCCAUUAUGUAUUAUGCAGGAUCUUUGACAAAAAAAUCUUCCCAACCGGCCCUUUUGCCCUAGAUUCAACUAAAUGUAAAUAUAGGAUUCAAAAGUGUUGGGUAUGAAGCCACUUCAACUGGAAGUCGCGCACAUAUGAUAUUUCUUAGGACUCUCUAAUCCAAAGGAAAUAUUGAUGAAAGAGGAUUUGAUUACUUUAUGGGAGCACUUGGGUUACGAAGAAGGAGCUGACCCUUCACAUGUAAGACCUUUCAUGUAGGUGAGGUGACUCAUUAAUACCCGAGCUGUAGUGGACACAACAAAUGCUCAAGAGAGGAAAUAACUCAUUGAUACCAUGAAGUUCAUCAAGACCAUUUUUAAAAGGAGAAAAGCCAGGACGAAAAUUGACGUGCUCCAUACUCCUCUUCCUACACCAAUUUCAACUCUAGAGAAAAUAACAACGAAAUAACUCUAUGCAGACACUAAGGCUUUGCUCACUGCCCAGACCCAGCCGGAUCACCUUGAGCAGGACAAAAGACGGAGCAAAAAGUCCAAUGAUCGAUCUGCUUCAGCGGCCGAAGGUAACAACAAACGAUACCUGGACAAGAGUCUUGGCAAAGUAGGAGGACCAAAUAAGAGGUCCAAGUCGUCUGGUCCUAACGCUAUAAGGAUUACCAUGAUCAACACUAAAAUCGCUCCUCCCACGUUUCCUACCACUUUUCUCUCUCAGGUGCCUCACACUUCACAGGAAGCAAAAAAUUUGCAUCCCCGAAUGGGACCUUGCUUAUAUCCAGAGACUCUAUGACACAAGUAAGUUAUAAUCGAUGGUGGAGAUGACCUUUCACAUGUUUCAAGGUGAUUCCUUGAUGAAUCUUGCAACUACUAGUUGUGGAGAAACACUUGCUCCAGGUAAUCCUUCUAAAGAUAAGAAGCAAUGGAAGAUAAAGUACGACUCCAUUGCUUAUGAACAAACUUAACUUCAAGAAAAGGUGUCUGAGCUUCAGAAGGAAGUGAAUAGGUUGUCUACUUUUCAAAAGGAGUUGGAUACCCAUGAUGACCCUUUUAAGCUAUCUACUUUGCAGGCAUAUCUGGAGAAUAAAGAAAACUCCCUUGAAUAAGCAAGGACUUCAGAGAAUACAUUGUCCUCUCGGGCCACUGCAGUUGUAGAGGCUCUAAAGAUAGAGAAAGGGGAUCACCAAGAAAAGAUGACGACAUUGAAGAAAGAGCUCGAUGAUGCCAUCGACAAAGACCUUAAAGGAGUUUUUGAUGGUUUCAAGAACACUUGCGACCAAGUGAGGAUGAUGUGAACCUUGACCGCACGCAUAAAGGGACCAUACUAGUUUUUCCGUUGCAUUCUUCACGCUCUUGCAUCACCGUCUUCUUCCUCUUGAUCUACUCAUAGAUUUCAGUUUAAGAGAAAAUGGAAUCAUUGCCUUCGUCGUGCUUAUCAAGAUCCUUCUAUUUUAGAGUAACUAAUUUUCACAAGUUUAAGCAAGAACGUGCAUUACCUCUUCAUCGAAGUGUCUUCCAUUUCAAAAAAAUUGAAGUUCCAGCUACUAGCAAGGAUUGGUACUAUAACACACCGAUCAAAGCUUCAAAUAAGAAACAUAUCACAAAGUUCAAUAUGAAUCUACAUUUAUUCUCAAGAAGCAACAAUGGCGAACCUUGACACCUCACCACAACGUGGACAACCUGAAGUGCAAAACUCUCAAGCUACAUCAAAAAUCACGGCAUUCACAGGUUCAACUAACACUUUUGCUCCAAAACUCUCGAUUAAGCUUCAAGAAAACAACUUCCUAAUAUGGAAUCAACAGGUUGAAGGUGUAAUUAUGUCACACAAACUACACAAGAUUGUGAUAAACCCCCACACUUCACCAAUAUUAAAAAAUGACCAUGGUCAAAUUGAAAACAUUGUGUCUGAAGCCUAUGAGGAAUGGAUUGUGCAAGAUCAAGCUUUGUUCACUUGGUUAUUCUCAACAAUCUCAGAAUAUGUGUUUCCUAGAGUUCUUUCUUGCAAACAUGCUUAUGAGGUGUGGGACAAGAUGCACAAAUACUGUAAUUCUCAGAUGAAGGCACAAGUUCAUCAACUGCGUGCAGAGCUCAAGAUGAGCAAGAAAGGUACCAAAACUACCUUUGAAUUUUUUCUUAGAAUCAUAGUUAUAGCAUACUCACUCAUGGAAAUUAGAGAUCCUAUCUCUGAACACGAUCAAAUUGAUUCCAUUCUCCAAGGCCUCCCCGAAGAGUAAAAUCCAUUCAUCAUGAUGGUGUAUAGAAAAACUGAUCCGAUGGACAUCUAUGAAGUAGAAGGUUUACUGUAUGUUCAUAAGGCCCAACUUGACAAAUAUCGUCAAUAACUUACAUCACCAAAUGUAUUAGCCAACGUUGUUCAAGCAGAUGCGAAUACACAAGCCAACAAUUCACAUAAUUCAGGAGGUUCGAGUUAUUACUCAUGUGGUAGAUGCAAACAUGCUAGAGGAAGAGGCCAAGGCAGAUCCAACUACAACUUCACAAUUGGAAAUCGACCAACUUGUCAACUUUGCAACAAGUAUGGACAUGCAGUAGUGGAUUGCUGGCACAAGUUUGAUGAACAUUUUGAACCUACACAACCUAAGGCUCAAGCUCAAAGCUUUACAUCCACCAAUAACAAUCAAGCUCAAGAAGGAAACAAGAAUUAAGACUUAGCUACUUCUGCUAAUGCAUAUCUAGCUCAUUAGGAUCAACUACAACUACCUCAGGGAUUAGAAUCUCAUACAUGGUUUGCAGACUCAGGCAUCUAGCCAAGUCCUUCUUGAAGGGUUCCUUGAUGCAAGUGCCCUGUAUUGCUUCAACAAUGUGAAGGUGGAAUCCUUAAAGGGUAACUUCCAACACAAGACAUUUGGUGUAGAACCAAUAACUAAUAAUGUAAUAGUUUCCCAAAAUUCUCUUACUAUUGAUAAACAUGAUUGUACUAGCUUAGAUAAAGUUUACCUAUGGAAUUCUAGAUUGCGGCAUGCUCAUCCCGAAGCAAUUCAUAAAGUUCUAAACUUGUGUAACCUACAUGUUAAGAAUAAAAAAACACUUGAUUUCUGUCA